UACGGAGGGUGCAAGCGUUAUCCGGAUUUACUGGGUUAAAGGGUGUGUAGGCGGACUUUUAAGUCAGCGGUGAAAUCUCCGGGCUCAACCCGGAACUGCCAUUGAUACUAUUAGUCUUGAAUAUUGUUGAGGUAGGCGGAACGGUCGAUGUAGCGGUGGAAAUGACAUAGAUAUGACCCGGAACACCGAUGCGAAGGCAGCCUACUAAGCAAUUAUGACGCUGAGGCACGAAAGCGUGGG
rnacentral:rRNA from 1 species